rnacentral:lncRNA from 1 species
UUUUCGACGGAGCGGGUAGUGACUCCUUAAAUAAGCCUCUAGCAACUGUUGUUUUGUUUUUUUGUCUUUGUCUUUAGAAUUGGGGUAUCGAGUGACACUAUGAGAGUCGUCAGCUCAACAGGGUUAUGAAUGUGGGUAACAUCCAGUGAAAUUGAUACUGGGUGCUACUAUAUGAAAGAAGUGAAAGGUGAUCAAUGAAUGGUGAUGAAUAACAGGUCGGGGUAAUUGUUGUGCUUAGGGUUGUGCUGUUUAGAUGUUGGUGUUUGUGCUUCGUUACGUUUUUUUUUUAUAAAUUGUUGUUGUCUCGUCUUCUGUGACAGAUUUUUUUUUUACAUUUGAUAAAAUUUAGACUGGUUGUGCGCUCCAGGCUCUAUGGCUGAGGGCAGCCGUGUUUCUCACCCAGUUCGAAACCUCUCGUGGGUAGGGGGGUAUUGUAACGAAGCAUUUCGGACCAACGAGCCUUGUAGCGACAUCUUGUGGUUUCUGACGAUAUAACGUUGUUUUUAUAUUUUACCCGCAGGAAAUCACAGAUGGCGCUGCAGGGUUAUCGAUGGGCCCGAAUAUUUUUAAUUAUUUUAUUUUCUUCAAAAAUUUGGUAUAUUAAAAUUAUCUGCAACAUUUAUUUUUGAUAUAUUAUAAUUAUAUUGUUUAAAUUUUGGGAUCAAACAAGUCGAUCGAUUGUUGUCGUUGAUUCGGCGAAUUUAUGGUUUGGUAGAUUUUUUCUAGUUUGGCAACUUUGUUCGUGGGUUUUGUGUCAGACUGACAGCUGGCUGAGCUGAGACAGGUUUUGGAAAGUGGGGACGUCGCGAGAGCGCCGGAGACUCCAUUGCCGAAACCCAAAUGUGGGCAAAUUAAAGCCACAAUGUAUUGGCGGCAUCAAGAGCCGAUGUAACCAUUUAUAUAAAUAACUUAACCGAGAUGCAACAUCACUGAAAUCCCAUCGCCUAAGGUCCAGUGGGUGGGAUUAGGUUUCAUCCGAGCGAUGCCCAACUAUCCCGGAUGAACCUAUGGGGUUUUAAUUGUUUUUAAAGUUUUAAAGGUUUAAAGUUUUGAGUUUUUUUAAAGUUUUGAGUUUUAAAAGUUUUUAAAGUUUUUUGUUUUGCUUUAAGUUUUUAACGUUUUGAAGUUUUAACGUUUUUGCAAGUUUUUAACGUCGAACGUUUUGCAAGUUUUAAUCUAAGAAGAAGUUUAUGAUUGGAUCAGACUAUUUCAACAAAUUUUGUGAAUGAAGAUUGCUACUGUUUUCUUCUGCGUUUGCAAGUUAUUUCAAGCUUCAUUUCGGCGGAGCUUGCCUUGGUUGUUUGCACGACGAAGCUUUCCUUUGUGCGGCGCGCAUGUGGAUGUGCCGCGCCUCUCCUUUUGUCAACACACCGGAUAAGGCCCGGUGAAGGUCUGCGAGGUUGACCGGUGGACGUGCAGCCCGCCAGCUGCGUAACAGUUGGCCCGCUGCGCCGCCAUCGUCCAGCACGCCCUGGCCUGAGCCGGCCUCAACUCAUCACCUGUACAGUAUUCCGGAACGCCUCAGGUAGGCCUGAUAGUCGGAGGUCCUCGAGUAAGUGAGGUGCCUACAGGUGUACGGACAGUGUUUUUAAAUAUAGUGAUAUCCCAUGGUUGUUACGGAGUGACAAUUAACCUGACGGACCAAAGCGCGACCUGUCUCCCUCCAUAGGGUUUUUGACCUACCUAUGGUUAAUGAAAUUUGUAGAUUUAAAAAAUAUACAUUGUACAAAUUCAA